rnacentral:lncRNA from 1 species
AUUAAAACUGUGGAACCCCUUUCCUCGGCUGCCGCCAAGGUGCUCGGUCCUUCCGAGGAAGCUAAGGCCGCGUUGGGGUGAGACCCUCACUUCAUCCGGCGAGUAGCACCGCGUCCGGCAGCCCCAGCCCCACACUCGCCCGCGCCAUGGCCUCCGUCUCCCAGCUUGCCUGCAUCUACUCUGCCCUCAUUCUGCAGGACUAUGAGAUUCAUUCUUAUAGAAGAGCAUCAGAGGAAGAUAAAAAAGAAUCCUCAGUGUCAGGCCCCUGAGCCCAAGCUAAGCCAUCAUAACCCUGUGACCUGCACAUAUACAUCCAGAUGGCCUGAAGCAACUGAAGAACCAUAAACGUGAAAUAGCCAGUUCCUGCCUUAACUGAUGACAUUCCACCAUUGUGAUUUGUUCCUGCUCCACCCUAACUGAUCAAUUGAUCUUGUGACAUUCCUUCUCCUGGACAGUGAGUCUCAGGAGCUCUCACCAAGCACCUUGUUACCCCCACCCCUGCCCACAAGAGAAAACCCACGUUAACUGUAAUUUUUCCACUACCUACCCAAAUCCUAUAAAACUGCCCCACCCCAUCUCCUUUUGCUGACUCCAGGUGAUUAAAAAACUAUUGCUCACACAAAGCCUGUUUGGUGGUCUCUUCAAAUGGAUGCGCAUAACACUCAAGGUAAAUAUUAGUCUGGUGAUUUUUUUUUUUUGAGAUGGAGUUCCCUCUUGUUGCCAGGCUGGAGUACAAUGGCGCGAUCUCAGCUCACCGCAACCUCCGCCUCCUGGGUUCAAGCAAUUCUCCU